UCUCUCUUUCAUUUCGCCACCUUUCUUCUCUCUCCUUUCUCACUUCUCUCUUACAAACCCUCUCUUCCCCUUAUCGUCCAGAUCUGGUUGUUCGUGUAUCGAUCUGUCGUGGGGUUUAGUGGAGGUGGGUCGCUGGUUGUCAGAUUUGGCAAUUCAACUCGCCAUUCAGCUCGUUCGUCGUGGAGGUGGGUCACCAGCGUUCAGGUUCCGGGUCUUUCGAUCUGUAGAGGUCUUCCGAUCGUCGUGGUUGGUAGUUUAGUCGUGGGUCUUUCGUCUGUAGAGGUGGGUCGUGGAUGUGGGUCACCAACGUUUGAGUCUUCCGGGUCGUGGGCUUUUCUAAUCUGUAGAGGUGGGACGCUGGCGAUCAUCACCAACUCGUCAUGGGUCAUUUUCAUUCAACAUUGUCUUCAUCUAGCGUUGUCGUUCUUUGCCAUUCCGGUGGUGCAGAUCGCCAUUCACAGCUCGCUCAGAUCUAGUCGGCCAACUCUGUCGUGGGGUUCUUCAGCUUAUUAUCCAGCUCCUUCUGGUUGUCAGAUCUGUUUGCUCUGUCGUUUUUUUGGUCGGAUCUUUUCGCUUCGCCUGUUCUUUUAGCCCCGAUCUUCACUCAGAUUUGUUUUUUCGAGGAGAUUUCCAGCUUAUGUGUGAAGCCUUGCGAAUGAGUAAAUACCAUCACUACGGUUUUCAACAUUAAGAAGUCUGAGGGAAUAAGGACGUUUCUUUUCAUCAUCAUAGUUGUCAAAAUAUUGAUAAGAUAUGGAGAAGUAAUAUCUUAUCUUGUCGUGUCUAUUUCGACAUUGAUCUUCAGGGGGGCUAGCUUAUAUUCACAUUGUUCCUGGAGUUUGUCAUCAAGAUGUAAAGCCUCAUAAUCUUUUGGUAUGUAACGUAUUUGUGUCUUAUUAUUUGUGAGCUAAGUAAUAGUUUCUCUGCUCCUCAUCUUUCAUGGGUUCAUUUUGAUUCUUCUUUCCGACGCUUUUAAUCUUAAGAGAAUAACCUGGAAGCGUUUCGUUGAGCUUUGGAAGCUUAGGCUCUAAUGGGUUUCAUCAGAUCUUAUAAGCCCACCAAUGGCUUCUCUCCUAGAUGGGUUUUUCUAUUUAGCAUUGCUAGCUUCUUCCUGGGUAUUUUUGUUGUCGAUAGCAAUAUCAAGUCAAACUUAUGGGAUAAAGAGGGAUUGGCAAGGAGAUCUAUGUGUGCCGGUGGAAUACCCUUAGAGUGGAUUGAAUUGUAGCAAUGCAACUACUUCAAGAAUCAUUUAUUUACGACAUCACGCAUCUUGCGGAUUGGAAGGUGGAAAGGUUCGAGACGAACAUUUUGAAGAGGAGUUGUGCCUGAGAUUGCUACAAAAAAAGGGAAAGGACUACCCUAUUGGCCCUAUUCUUCUUGGAUUCUUCAUUUUUGUCAUCAUUGGAUCAUGUGAGUUUUAGAUUUUGGAUGCUAAUUUCCUCUUUUCCUCUUUCAUAUGCUUAUGCUUAUGUUUUGGCAUACUUUGGAUUUUUAUUAUGUGAUUUGAGCUUCUUUGUGGUUGUUUAUAACAAGAACAUGAUAUCUCGGCCUUCUUUGCAAAUUUCCAUGAAGACUCGAAAUCAAAGAUUUGAGAAUUUAUGUACAUACGUAUAUGUGUGCAGAAAUGUAAUUGUUUAAAUGUUGGUUGUUUAAAUGAUAUCUCGACCUACUGUAUGGUUGUUUAAAUGUUGUCUUUCCAUAGCUCUAUAGCUUGAAUUUCAUAAAUUCUUUUGUGUGGGGUAGUUGAAU